rnacentral:rRNA from 1 species
UACGGAGGAUGCAAGCGUUAUCCGGAAUGAUUGGGCGUAAAGCGUCCGCAGGCGGCUAUGUAAGUCUGCUGUUAAAGAGUGAGGCUCAACCUCAUAAGAGCAGUGGAAACUACAUGGCUAGAGUGCGUUCGGGGCAGAGGGAAUUCCUGGUGUAGCGGUGAAAUGCGUAGAUAUCAGGAAGAACACCGGUGGCGAAAGCGCUCUGCUAGGCCGCGACUGACACUGAGGGACGAAAGCUAGGGGAGCGAAUGGG